rnacentral:rRNA from 1 species
GAUGAACGCUAGCGGGAGGCCUAACACAUGCAAGCCGAGCGGUAUGGAUAGCUUGCUAUCCAGAGAGCGGCGUACGGGUGCGUAACACGUGUGCAACCUACCUUUAUCUGGGGGAUAGCCUUUCGAAAGGAAGAUUAAUACCCCAUAAUAUAAUGAUUGGCAUCAAUUAUUAUUGAAAACUCCGGUGGAUAGAGAUGGGCACGCGCAAGAUUAGAUAGUUGGUGAGGUAACGGCUCACCAAGUCAAUGAUCUUUAGGGGUCCUGAGAGGGAGAUCCCCCACAAUGGUACUGAGACACGGACCAGACUCCUACGGGACGCAGCAGUGAGGAAUAUUGGACAAUGGGUGAGAGCCUGAUCCAGCCAUCCCGCGUGAAGGAGGACGGUCCUAGGGAUUGUAAACUUCUUUUGUACAGGGAUAAACCUACCCUCGUGAGGGUAGCUGAAGGUACUGUACGAAUAAGCACCGGCUAACUCCGUG